CCUACGGGAGGCAGCAGUGGGGGAUAUUGGACAAUGGGGGGAACCCUGAUCCAGCGACGCCGCGUGAGUGAAGAAGUAUUUCGGUAUGUAAAGCUCUGUCAGCAGGGAAGAAAGAAAUGACGGUACCUGACCAAGAAGCCCCGGCUAACUACGUGCCAGCAGCCGCGGUAAUACGUAGGGGGCAAGCGUUAUCCGGAAUUACUGGGUGUAAAGGGAGCGUAGACGGUUAAGUAAGUCUGGAGUGAAAGGCCGGGGCCCAACCCCGGGACUGCUCUGGAAACUAUUGAACUUGAGUGCAGGGGAGGUAAGCGGAAUUCCUAGUGUAGCGGGGAAAUGCGUAGAUAUUAGGAGGAACACCAGUGGCGAAGGCGGCUUACUGGACUGUAACUGACGUUGAGGCUCGAAAGCGUGGGGAGCAAACAGGAUUAGAUACCCUUGUAGUC
rnacentral:rRNA from 1 species